GAUAGCAUAUCAAUAAGCGGAGGAAAAGAAACCAACAGGGAUUGCCUUAGUAACGGCGAGUGAAGCGGCAAUAGCUCAAAUUUGAAAGCUGGCCCUUUCAGGGUCCGCGUUGUAAUUUGUAGAGGAUGAUUCGGCGAGGGCUCCCGCCUAAGUCCCCUGGAACGGGGCGUCAUAGAGGGUGAGAAUCCCGUAUGCGGUGGGCUGCCUUAGCCAUGUGAAUCUCCUUCGACGAGUCGAGUUGUUUGGGAAUGCAGCUCUAAAUGGGAGGUAAAUUUCUUCUAAAGCUAAAUACCGGCCAGAGACCGAUAGCGCACAAGUAGAGUGAUCGAAAGAUGAAAAGCACUUUGGAAAGAGAGUUAAAAAGUACGUGAAAUUGUUGAAAGGGAAGCGCUUGCAACCAGACUUGUCCGCAGUUGCUCAGCCGGUCUCCUGACCGGCGUACUCUUCUGCGGCCAGGCCAGCAUCAGUUCGGGCGGUCGGAUAAAGACCUCGGGAAUGUAGCUCCUCUCGGGGAGUGUUAUAGCCCGGGGUGGAAUGCGGCCAGCCUGGACUGAGGAUCUCGCUUCGGCAAGGAUGCUGGCGUAAUGGUUGUAAGCGGCCCGUCUUGAAACACGGACCAAGGAGUCUAACAUCUAUGCGAGUGUUUGGGUGUCAAACCCAUACGCGUAAUGAAAGUGAACGGAGGUGGGAACCCGCAAGGGCGCACCAUCGGCCGAUCCUGAUGUCUUCGGAUGGAUUUGAGCAAGAGCAUAGCUGUUGGGACCCGAAAGAUGGUGAACUAUGCCUGAAUAGGGUGAAGCCAGAGGAAACUCUGGUGGAGGCUCGCAGCGGUUCUGACGUGCAAAUCGAUCGUCAAAUUUGGGUAUAGGGGCGAAAGACUAAUC
rnacentral:rRNA from 1 species